rnacentral:rRNA from 1 species
GACGAACGCUGGCGGCGUGCCUAAUACAUGCAAGUCGAACGAACCGCGACUGAGUGCUUGCACUUGGUCAAGGUGAGUGGCGAACGGGUGAGUAAACGUGGGGUAACUUACUCAAAGGUGGGGAUUACAAGCGGGAACCGCUGCUUAUACCGCCUAAGACAUGGAAUUCACUGGUUCUGUGAGGGAAGGGUGCGCAAACUAUCCCCAAGGGAUGGACCCCGCGUUGCAUUAGCUAGUUGGUAGGGUAAGGGCCUACCAAGGCGAUGAUGCAUAGCCGACCUGAGAGGGUGAUCGGCCACAUUGGGACUGAGACACGGCCCAAACUCCUACGGGAGGCAGCAGUAGGGAAUCUUCCGCAAUGGACGCAAGUCUGACGGAGCAACGCCGCGUGAGUGAAGAAGGUCUUCGGAUCGUAAAGCUCUGUUGUUAGAGAAGAACAGCGCAUAGAGUAACUGUUAUGCGUGUGACGGUAUCUAACCAGAAAGCCACGGCUAACUACGUG